AGCUCGUGUCGUGAGAUUGGUUGGGUUUAAGUCCCCGCAACGAGCGCAACCCUCGACCUUUAGUUGCCAGCAUUCAGGUUGGGCACUCUAAGGUGACUGCCGGCUAAAGUCGGAGGAAGUGGGGAUGACGUCAAAUCAUCAUGCCCCUUAUGACCUGGGCUACACACGUGCUACAAUGGGCGGUACAAAGGGUCGCGAACCCGCGAGGGGGAGCCAAUCCCAAAAGCCGCUCUCAGUUCGGAUUGCAGGCUGCAACUCGCCUGCAUGAAGCCGGAAUCGCUAGUAAUCGCGGAUCAGCAUGCCGCGGUGAAUACGUUCCCGGGCCUU
rnacentral:rRNA from 1 species